UACAGAGGGUUCGAGCGUUAUUCGGAAUUACUGGGCGUAAAGCGUGCGUAGGCGGUUAUAUAAGUCGGAUGUGAAAGCCCCGGGCUCAACCUGGGAAUUGCAUUCGAGACUGAAUAGCUAGGGUACGGUAGAGGGAAGUGGAAUUUCCGGUGUAGCGGUGAAAUGCGUAGAUAUCGGAAGGAACAUCAGUGGCGAAAGCGACUUCCUGGACCAGUACCGACGUUCAGGCACGAAAGCGUGGGGAGCAAACAGG
rnacentral:rRNA from 1 species